AUGGCAGAGGGCAGGGGCUCUCAUAGGGAGAAGGGGAAGGAGACGGCGGAGGACCUACUAGCUUGCCUUACCUUGUAGGAGGAGGAAGAUAAUGACUUUGUGUGGGAGGAGGAGCUUCCAGACCUGAUGGAGCCGACGAAGUGGCUGGCUAUCGUGAGGGUUCACACACCCAAAACCUUCAGCCCUAAUGCACUGUACGGCGACAUGAGGGCGGCCUGGAACCCGACGAAAAUGGUAGUCUGGAGGAAGAUCAGGGAGAACCUUUUUACGGUGCAAUUUGGUUGCCUCACGGAUUGGAAAAAAUCCAUGCUAGAUGGCCCAUGGCUGUUUAGGGAUCAAGCUGUGAUUCUGGAGGAGUAUGAUGGUUUCAAAAACCCUGAUUCUUGA
rnacentral:rRNA from 1 species